rnacentral:rRNA from 1 species
AAGACCUUGCGCUUUUGGAGCGGCCGAUGCCUGAUUGGCUUGUUGGUAAGGUAAAAGCUUACCAAGGCUUCGAUCAGUAGCUGGUCUGAGAGGACGACCAGCCACACUGGGACUGAGACACGGCCCAGACUCCUACGGGAGGCAGCAGUGGGGAAUUUUGGACAAUGGGGGCAACCCUGAUCCAGCCAUGCCGCGUGAGUGAAGAAGGCCUUCGGGUUGUAAAGCUCUUUCAGCCGGAACGAAACGGUUACGGAUAACACCCGUGACUACUGACGGUACCGGAAGAAGAAGCACCGGCUAACUACGUACCAGCAGCCGCGGUAAUACGUAGGGUGCGAGCGUUAAUCGGAAUUACUGGGCGUAAAGCGUGCGCAGGUGGUUUUGUAAGUCAGAUGUGAAAGCCCCGGGCUCAACCUGGGAACU